CCAAUCGAACGUGGAGAUAGCUGGUUCUCCCCGAAAUAGCUUUAGGGCUAGCCUCAGGGAAAAGAUUGCAGGCGGUAGAGCACUGAUCAGGAGAGGGACCUACCCGGUUACCAAACCCAGUCAAACUCCGAAUGGCUGCAAUCAUACCUGGGAGUCAGACUGCGACUAAUAAGGGCCGCAGUCAAAAGGGAAACAGCCCAGACCAUCAGCUAAGGUCCCCAAUGCCGUGCUAAGUGGCGAAGGAUGUGGCAUUUCAUAAACAACCAGGAUGUUGGCUCAGAAGCAGCCACCAUUUAAAGAGUGCGUAAUAGCUCACUGGUCGAGAGACGCUGCGCCGAAAAUGUCCGGGGCUCAAGCACGGAACCGAAGCUAUGGCAUGAUAGCAAUAUCAUGGGUAGGGGAGCGUUCUUAUAAGGAAGAAGCAUGACCGGAAGGACAUGUGGACAAAUAAGAAGUGAGAAUGCCGGUAUGAGUAUCGAAAAGAAAGGUGAGAAUCCUUUCCACCGAAAGCCCGAGGGUUCCUGAGCAACGAUCGUCGACUCAGGGUAAGUCGGGACCUAAGCCGAGGCGAGAAGCGUAGGCGAUGGACAACAGGUUGAAAUUCCUGUACCGGAUCAAGUCGAUUGAGCGAAGGAGCGACGCAGGAGGGCACAUGAUCGCGCGGCUGGAAGAGCGCGUCCAAGUGCGUAUGUUGCAGCAGAGGAAAACCCCUGCGGCUAAAAGCAGAGACAUGAUGGGGAGUUAAAGGAAACUUUGACGAACUCAUGGAUCCCACACUGCCAAGAAAAACUUCUAGCGAGACAAGAUCCGCCCGUACCGUAAACCGACACAGGUAGGCGGGGAGAGAAUCCUAAGGUGCGCGGGAAAACCCUCGUUAAGGAACUCGGCAAAUUGCAUCCGUAACCUAGGGAGAAGGAUGGCCCCCGGUCAGUGAAGAGCAGAAACGCUCAGAGCUAAAAGGGGCGGCAGAAAAGAGGCCCAAGCAACUGUUUACCAAAAACACAGGUGCCUGCGAAAGCGAAAGCUGAAGUAUAGGUGCUGACGCCUGCCCGGUGCCGGAAGGUUAAGGAGAGAAGUUAGCGAAAGCGAAGCAUCGAACUGAAGCCCCGGUGAACGGCGGCCGUAACUAUAACGGUCCUAAGGUAGCGAAAUUCCUUGUCGGGUAAGUUCCGACCCGCAUGAAAGGCGUAAUGAUUUGGGCACUGUCUCAACGAGGGGCCCGGUGAAAUUGAAAUACCUGUGAAGAUGCAGGUUACCCGCGACUGGACAGAAAGACCCCAUGGAGCUUCACUGCAGCUUGAGAUUGAAUCCCGGUGACAGAUGCACAGGAUAGGUGGGAGGCGCCGAAGCAUUGCCCUAGGGCGGUGCGGAGCCGAUGUUGGGAUACCACCCUUCUGUUGCUGAGAUUCUAACGCGAGGAGUAACGACCCUGCGGACCCUCUCAGGCAGGCGGUUUGACUGGGGCGGUCGCCUCCGAAAGAGUAACGGAGGCGCCCAAAGGUUCCCUCAGGCCGGACAGAAACCGGCCGAAGAGUGCAAAGGCAGAAGGGAGCUUGACUGCGAGACCAACAAGUCGAGCAGAGACGAAAGUCGGGCUUAGUGAUCCGGUGGUACUGAGUGGAAAGGCCAUCGCUCAACGGAUAAAAGCUACCCUGGGGAUAACAGGCUAAUCUCUCCCAAGAGUUCAUAUCGACGGGGAGGUUUGGCACCUCGAUGUCGGCUCAUCACAUCCUGGGGCUGUAG
rnacentral:rRNA from 1 species